UCUGGCAUAUCCGGCUACAGUCGACGGCAGUGUCCUCUCCAGCAGUGAGUUUAAAAUAUUUACGACCAAACACGCUGUUACAAUUGACGACGUUGUGAUCUACAGAGUUAAUAUCCUCCUGGAUGAGAGUAAAAUUGAAGAGACUCUGAAUUCCCUGGAGAGCAAGAUGAAAUUUGACAUAUACUAUGCAGAAUUAAACGAACGUAAGAAUUUGACACCAAUCUGCAGCGAGGACAUGACACUGCACUUUAACCUGCAUCGAGGGAUUCAUGGCCACAUGAAUAUAGUAUUUAAGACACUUUCAAAGCUCUCCGUCAAUGUUCAUGGCCUGUUGGUUGUAUUACAACCCCCACUGAAGAAGUAAGUACACGGAUUGUUAUUGUCAGAUAUAGAUGAUGACAUUUUUUACUAUUCGAUUAAGAAAUCAUAUCAAA